CUGAAAGACUGUUAAGAAACUGUUAGCAUCUGUGAUGAUACCACGUCCAAAGAAAUCUUUGAAAAGGCCAAAUCAUGUGAAGGAUAUUUGCUUUAUUGUCCUGCAGUAAUACUCUGGAAAUUACCAUUAAAGGAAUAUUUUGCUGAGAAAAUAAAAGCUGCUUUCUCCUGAGGCCAAAAUUUAAGCAAAGAAGACAGCAGAUGUUUUGUCUCUGCAAAGAAGACAUGGGCAUGCAUUAAGGAGAAGGUGAUACAAAUCAACAUCAGAAGUUGAAAAGCAUCAGCUGGAACCUGAUCAUAAGUUUUAGCAUAAUUUUUGCCCCUUGCUCCUUCCAAGUUUCCUUGAAUAUCAAGACUCGCGAUCAGUCUGUAAGAGUAUUUCAUGAGAAUUCAGGGACCUCUUACUCUACCUCACAAAAGUGAAACAAGCAUCUGUACCCACCAAACAUCAAGUUUGCAUUCUCUUUCUUGAGCUCCUCCUACCCAAAAAGCUGGAUGACCAAGCUGGCAGCAAUGGGCUAUUCCUGUGUACUGAGCCUUAGGCCUGAUCAGAAGAGCUGUUUUUACUCUCUUUGUCAUUUCUAAGCAUUGAAAAGAACUGCAAAAAUGAAUUUUGAAGACUCUUUCUUCCUCAAAUAAUGACAAGGGGCUGAGGAAGGCCUGCCAGCUGAACACCCUUUACACAACUGAAUCAUUCCCUGCAACCAUUCUGGAUGAUCAUGCAGCUUCUGCUUGGAGAGGGAAAGAAUACACUCUGGUAAAAAUCACAUACAUGUGCAGGAAAAUGUGCUUGUACUGCAAUACCACCUACCAGCUUGGAGGUUACUCCUGGUUUAUUGUAGUCAAACAACCAUUACAGAUUUUCUGAAACC
ensembl:lncRNA